AACGAACGCUGGCGGCGCGCCUAAUACAUGCAAGUCGAGCGAGAAGACGUAGCAAUACGUUUGUAAAGCGGCGAACGGGUGAGGAAUACAUGGGUAACCUACCCUCGAGUGGGGAAUAACUAGCCGAAAGGUUAGCUAAUACCGCGUACGCUCCUUGGACUUCGGUUCAGGGAGGAAAGCGAUACCGUGGGUAUCGCGCUCUUGGAUGGGCUCAUGUCCUAUCAGCUUGUUGGUGAGGAACGGCUCACCAAGGCUUCGACGGGUAGCUGGUCUGAGAGGACGAUCAGCCACACUGGCACUGCGACACGGGCCAGACUCCUACGGGAGGCAGCAGUAAGGAAUAUUGCGCAAUGGGCGAAAGCCUGACGCAGCGACGCCGCGUGGGGGAUGAAGGUCUUCGGAUUGUAAACCCCUUUCGGGAGGGAAGAUGGAACGAGCAAUCGUUCGGACGGUACCUCCAGAAGCAGCCACGGCUAACUUCGUGCCAGCCGCCGCGGU
rnacentral:rRNA from 1 species